AGGGAAGGCAUCGAGCUUGAGGAAGAGGCCCCAUUCAUCUCCGUACCCCAGGCCCUGGUACACAGCAGCAAGAAUGGGUUGUGUCAGGAGAAGCAAAUCCCAAAUGAGAUAAACCUGCCAGUAAUUUCAGCAAAUGAAACGUGGAACACGUCAAGGCCAGAGGAUGGAAAAGGCUCCAGUUUUGAUAAAAGGAGGCCUGCUUGGCUUGGAAUCCUCUCUCCUGCUGGUUGGGAGAUGCAAAGAUGUUUCCAGAGAGGGGCUGAUGAAUUGAGGGGAAAGAAAUGAGCCCAGUAUGAGUCCCCUUUCAGGGCUGAGCGGGUAUAAAACCAAACAACUUGGAACCGCUCCAAGAGAGGGGAUUAAAGCAACAUGUUAUUCU
rnacentral:lncRNA from 1 species